UACGGAGGGUGCAAGCGUUAUCCGGAUUCACUGGGUUUAAAGGGUGCGUAGGUGGGCAUGUAAGUCAGUGGUGAAAUCUCCGUGCUUAACAUGGAAACUGCCAUUGAUACUAUGUUUCUUGAAUUAUCUGGAGGUGAGCGGAAUAUGUCAUAUAGCGGUGAAAUGCUUAGAUAUGACAUAGAACACCAAUUGCGAAGGCAGCUCACUACGGAUUGAUUGACACUGAGGCACGAAAGCGUGGGGAUCAAACAGG
rnacentral:rRNA from 1 species